rnacentral:lncRNA from 1 species
AUGUUAAAAAGAGUAUUAAUCCCGGUUUCUCACCACCAGUCCUUACUUCAUCCUCUGUUGCCAGGGAGCUUUAAAAACCAGACAAAAGAAGAAACAAAAACUAAAACCAAACCUUGAAGAUAAAUAUUUUCCUAUCACCUGCAUUCAAGUCUGCGUCGGUGAGGGAAUCUACAGAAAGUCCAAGGAAUGCGUAAUAAAGUUAGAAGGUAUACUUGCCAAUACAUCAACAAUUCAUUUUUAAAAUAAGAAAUUUUCAAUUGCAAGAAUUAUCUUCAAUUUUAUAAAUCAUCUUUAAUUUUUUAAAAAAUUGAGAUUAUGGAAAUAUAAUCUCUAGCACUGAACUACAUCUCCAGCCCUCUACUUGUCUUCUUCAUAAGACCUGGAAUGAAGACCCA